AGUCACUGACAUUAGAUACCCGUGUAGUCCAGGGUGUAAACGCGGCAGACUUGGUGUUGGAGGCCCUUUGGGGGCAUUCAGUGCCGGAGAGAAGUUGUUAAGUCUGCUACUUGGGGAGUACGUCCGCAAGGAUGAAACUUAAAGGAAUUGGCGGGGGAGCACCGCAACGGGAGGAGCGUGCGGUUUAAUUGGAUUCAACACCGUAAAACUCACCAGGGAAGACUGUUACAUGAAGGCCGAGAUGAAGACUCUGCUAGAUUUUCAG
rnacentral:rRNA from 1 species